UUGACGGGGGCCCGCACAAGCGGUGGAGCAUGUGGUUUAAUUCGAUGAUACGCGAGGAACCUUACCUGGGCUCAAAUGUAUGUUGACGUAUUCUGAAAGGGAUACUUCUUCGGACAAUAUACAAGGUGCUGCAUGGUUGUCGUCAGCUCGUGCCGUGAGGUGUCGGGUUAAGUCCCAUAACGAGCGCAACCCCUAUCAUUAGUUGCCAUCAGGUCAAGCUGGGGACUCUAAUGAAACUGCCUACGCAAGUAGUGAGGAAGGUGGGGAUGACGUCAAAUCAGCACGGCCCUUACGUCCAGGGCUACACACGUGCUACAAUGGCCGGUACAAAGGGCAGCUACCUGGUGACAGGAUGCUAAUCUCAAAAGCCGGUCUCAGUUCGGAUCGGAGUCUGCAACCCGACUCCGUGAAGCUGGAAUCGCUAGUGAUCGCGCAUCAGCCAUGGCGCGGUGAAUACGUUCCCGGGCCUU
rnacentral:rRNA from 1 species